GGGAGGCUUGGUGUUAAGCUGUGUAAAAUUGUUCUGCUUAAGAUUUCAGGACCCAUUGUUGGCCGAAUAGGAGUUACGCCAGGCCGCUGGUUAGAAGAACUGGACGAACUGAGUCCGUCAUUCUCCAAUUCGAUAGGAAGUCAUUUUGCCAAGAAAGUUAGAAAAAAAUCGACUUUUGCACUCCAGAGAUGAAAAGCACAGAAAAUGACUAUUGAUCCAGUGUGUCUCUCAGACAUCAUGUACGAGUGCAGUGAAAAGUAAUUCCAAGUUCCAAACGUGAAUACGUAUUCGACUUUAUUUAUUUCAAACAAAGGAGUAAGAUUCAAUUGGUAGAGAACAUGAAGGAAUAAAGUAUGUGUAAUGUUAUUGAGACGAUGGAAACCACGAUAAUUAAUUUAUUUUGUUUCUUUUCAGUUCAGUUA